GUGCCAGCAGCCGCGGUAAUACGAAGGGGGCUAGCGUUGUUCGGAAUUACUGGGCGUAAAGCGCACGUAGGCGGAUACUUAAGUCAGGGGUGAAAUCCCGGGGCUCAACCCCGGAACUGCCUUUGAUACUGGGUAUCUCGAGUCCGGAAGAGGUGAGUGGAAUUCCGAGUGUAGAGGUGAAAUUCGUAGAUAUUCGGAGGAACACCAGUGGCGAAGGCGGCUCACUGGUCCGGUACUGACGCUGAGGUGCGAAAGCGUGGGGAGCAAACAGGAUUAGAAACCCGCGUAGUCC
rnacentral:rRNA from 1 species